AGGGAAGGGGGCAGAAACGUUCAGUCUUUUUGAGAUAUUCUCCUGUCCUCUCCUCUGUUCUAUCUGUUCCACUGCUAAAGUUUUCCUUGGUAGGGAACCACUUUCCCACUGUUCUUUUUCUUCCUCAUUCUCAGAUCCACCCAAGCUUCUCUCAGCCCCACCUUCCUGUCUUCCCCCUCCCUACUCAAGCCAAAACCCACACAGAGGGAUUUAAACCCGUCAUCGACUUGCCCAGGGACUCUUCAUCCCUACUGACUCCCAGGACAACACUCCCAUAGACCUCUCAGGCCUUAGCCCCUUUGAGCUACACAAACGCUCAAGUGCCUAUUGCUUAGUCCAAGAUCUCCUCCUAAUUAAUGAAGCGGUUAUUCCCAUCCACCCAGUGGUUCCCAACCCUUACACUCUUCUUCUUCAUAUCCCUCCUUUGACCACUCACUUUACUGUCCUGAAUCUUAAAUAUGCCUUCUUUAUAGUGCCUCUCCAUCCUGACUCUUAUUACCUCUUUGCCUUCACAUGGGAAGGAUCCUUUAGGUCUCAACAGUUGACAUGGACAGUCCUACCCCAAGGCUUUCAGGGAGGGCCAGUCCCCACCUCUUGGCACAGGAUCUAACUGCUUGUGACUUGGGGGAUAGCACUCUCUUACAGUUGGACAGAAGUCUUCCCUACCUCCAGGGAAGCUGCUGACAAUGUCACCUCCAUCCUCAUUGAGCAAAUUUCCAGGUUUGUCUUCACUUCUCAGGUGGUUCAACUAGUCUCCAAAGGUCUCAACAUCACUUGGAGGCUCCGUAUCCCCUACCGACCCCAAUCCUCAGGUUUGGAUCAUACUCUGUUGACUGCGAUACCCAUUGAUCUUCCUCUCAAUACAUCAACCAGACUCCAAAGGACCUCCCUCUCCAGCCUUGGAGGAAGUAUCUCUUUUUCCUAACUCAUCAGGGAAUUUCACUUGCUGCUACACUUCCUCUGGUUCAGCACCCUGUGACCAGGUCAUUCGAAUUUCUUCCCCAACCUUUGCUCUACCAGAGUUCUUUUUCUGGUGCAAUGGUAUCCUAACAAAAAAUCUAAGCCUCAACAUGC